rnacentral:rRNA from 1 species
AUUGAACGCUGGCGGCAGGCCUAACACAUGCAAGUCGAGCGAGCGGCGGACGGGUGAGUAAAGUCUGGGAAACUGCCGGAUGUAGGGGGAUAACUACUGGAAACGGUAGCUAAUACCGCAUACCAUCAGAUGUGCCCAGAUGGGAUUAGCUAGUAGGUGGGGUAACGGCUCACCUAGGCGACGAUCCCUAGCUGGUCUGCGAGGAUGACCAGCCACAUGGGAACUGAGCAACGGCCCAGACUCCGACGGGAGGCAGCAGUGGGGAAGAUUGCAAAAGGGGCGCAAGCCUGAUGCGGCCAUGCGGCGUGUGUGAAGAAGGCCUUCGGGUUGUAAAGCACUUUCAGCGGGGAGGCGUUACUCGCAGAAUAAGCACCGGCUAACUCUGUGCCAGCAGCCGCGGUAAUAC